rnacentral:misc_RNA from 1 species
GAUGAAGAACGCAGCGAAAUGCGAUAAGUAAUGUGAAUUGCAGAAUUCAGUGAAUCAUCGAGUUUUUGAACGCAUAUUGCGCCCUCUGGUAUUCCGGGGGGCAUGCCUGUUCGAGCGUCAUUAAAUAACCCUCAAGCAUAGCUUGGUGUUGGGCUUUUUUACGUCCUUGACUGGGAUGGGCCUAAAAAUUAGUGGCGAUGGCUUUUUUACUUUCAAGCGUAGUAAAUCUCGUCUUGCUAAAGAGGAAAAAGAUUUUUUUUCUGCCAAAAAUUUUAACAUUUAAAGUUGACCUCGGAUCAGGUAAGAUUACCCGCUGAACUUAAGCAUAUCAAUAAGCGGAGGA